rnacentral:misc_RNA from 1 species
GAUGAAGAACGCAGCGAAAUGCGAUACGUAAUGUGAAUUGCAGAAUUCAGUGAAUCAUCGAAUCUUUGAACGCACAUUGCGCCUGCCAGCACUCUGGCAGGCAUGCCUGUUCGAGCGUCAUUUCAACCAUCAAGCCCUAGGCUUGCGUUGGAGCCCUGCGGCUGCCGCAGGCCCCUAAAAGCAGUGGCGGGCUCGCUAUCACACCGCGUGCAGUAGAUUACUCUUCGCUCAGGGCGUGUGGCGGGUUCCAGCCGUGAAACCCCCUACUUCUCAAGGUUGACCUCGGAUCAGGUAGGAAUACCCGCUGAACUUAAGCAUAUCAAUAAGCGGAGGA